rnacentral:rRNA from 1 species
AACGAACGCUGGCGGCAGGCCUAACACAUGCAAGUCGAACGCCCGUAGCAAUACGGGAGUGGCAGACGGGUGAGUAACACGUGGGAACAUGCCCAAAGGUACGGAAUAUUCUCGGGAAACUGGGAGCAAUACCGUAUGUGCCCGAAAGGGGAAAGAUUUAUCGCCUUUGGUAUUGCCCGCGUUGGAUUAGCUAGUUGGUGGGGUAAAAGGACCUACCAAGGCGACGAUCCAUAGCUGGUCNGAGAGGACGACCAGCCACACUGGGACUGAGACACGGCCCAGACUCCUACGGGAGGCAGCAGUGGGGAAGUCUUGGACAAUGGGCGCAAGCCUGAUCCAGCCAUGCCGCGUGAGUGAUGAAGGCCC